ACUCCUACGGGAGGCAGCAGUAGGGAAUCUUCCACAAUGGGCGCAAGCCUGAUGGAGCAACACCGCGUGAGUGAAGAAGGGUUUCGGUCUCGUAAAGCUCUGUUGUUAAAGAAGAACACGUAUGAGAGUAACUGUUCAUACGUUGACGGUAUUUAACCAGAAAGUCACGGCUAACUACGUGCCAGCAGCCGCGGUAAUACGUAGGUGGCAAGCGUUAUCCGGAUUUAUUGGGCGUAAAGAGAGUGCAGGCGGUUUUCUAAGUCUGAUGUGAAAGCCUUCGGCUUAACCGGAGAAGUGCGUCGGAAACUGGAUAACUUGAGUGCAGAAGAGGGUAGUGGAACUCCAUGUGUAGCGGUGGAAUGCGUAGAUAUAUGGAAGAACACCAGUGGCGAAGGCGGCUACCUGGUCUGCAACUGACGCUGAGACUCGAAAGCAUGGGUAGCGAACAGGAUUAGAUACCCUGGUAGGAUAGCG
rnacentral:rRNA from 1 species